rnacentral:rRNA from 1 species
UUAGGUAGUUGGUGGGGUAAUGGCCCACCAAGCGGGGGUUUCAUAGCUGGAUUGAGAGGAUGAUCAGCCACACUGAGACUGAGACACGACCCAGACUCCAUGGGAGGCAGCAGUGGAGAAUCGUAGACAAUGGGGGCAACCCUGAUCUAGACAUGCCGCGUGAGAGAUGAAGUCCUUAGGGUUGUAAAGGUCUUUCAGCUGGGAAGAUAAUGCCGGUACCAGCAGAAGAAGCCCCGGCUCACUCCGUGCCAGCAGCAGCGGUAAUACGGAGGGGGCUAGCGUUGUUCGGAAUUACUGGGCGUAAAGCGCACGUAGGCGGACUGGAAAGUCAGAGGUGAAAUCCCAGGGCUCAACCUUGGAACUGCCUUUGAAACUAUCAGUCUGGAGUUCGAGAGAGGUGAGUGGAAUUCGGAGAGUAGAGGUGAAAUUGGUAGAUAUUCGGAGGAACACCAGUGGCGAAGGCGGCUCCCUGGCUCGAUACUGACGCUGAGGUGCGAAAGCGUGGGGAGCAAGCAGGACAGAUACCCCGGUAGUCCACGCCGUAAACGAUGAAUGCCAGACGUCGGCAAGCAUUCUAGUCGGUGUCACACGUAACAGAUU